rnacentral:rRNA from 1 species
UAGUAACGGCGAGUGAAGCGGGAAGAGCUCAAGCUUGAAAUCUCCGCACAAGUUUUGUGUGGCGAAUUGUAGUCUAUAGAAGCGAUGUCAGCAUAGCUGCUCUAGUCAAGUUCCUUGGAAAAGGACAGCAUGGAGGGUUAUACUCCCGUCAUUGCUGGAGCAUGCUGUGUGUACGACACGUUUUCUUUGAGUCGCGUUGUUUGGGAAUGCAGCGCAAAGUAGGUGGUAAAUUCCAUCUAAAGCUAAAUAUAAGUGCGAGACCGAUAGCGAACAAGUACCGUGAGGGAAAGAUGAAAAGAACUUUGAAAAGAGAGUUAAAGAGUACCUGAAACUGCUGAAAGGGAAGCGAAUCGUAUCCAGUGUCUAUAAUCCGCAACAUAUUACAAUGAUGUGUCUUUGCUUUCCGCGUGUAGGUAGUAGCCUUGGUUGCACCUUGCGAGGAUUGGUUGAGCCAUAUCGUUGCCCUGUGUUGUGGUGGGACGUCAAAGUCAGUUUGUACGUCGCAGGAAAUGAUUGACGAGGAAGAUAGGUUUGCUGCUUGCAGCGUUCCAUUAUAUCCUUAUCGAUGUCUGCUGUGACGGAGACUGAGGUGUCUUUAACAUGCUCUCGAGUCUAUUAGACAUUCACUUGGUUGAGUGCGUAGAUAGCUUGCUAUGUACGUGUUUAUACAGGGUGAUUGUGUUUGGU